rnacentral:rRNA from 1 species
GACGAACGCUGGCGGCGUGCUUAACACAUGCAAGUCGAACGGUAAGGCCCUUCGGGGUACACGAGCGGCGAACGGGUGAGUAACACGUGGGUGAUCUGCCCUGCACUUCGGGAUAAGCCUGGGAAACUGGGUCUAAUACCGGAUAGGACCACUGCCUGCAUGGGUGGUGGUGGAAAGCUUUUGCGGUGUGGGAUGGGCCCGCGGCCUAUCAGCUUGUUGGUGGGGUGAUGGCCUACCAAGGCGACGACGGGUAGCCGGCCUGAGAGGGUGACCGGCCACACUGGGACUGAGAUACGGCCCAGACUCCUACGGGAGGCAGCAGUGGGGAAUAUUGCACAAUGGGCGCAAGCCUGAUGCAGCGACGCCGCGUGAGGGAUGACGGCCUUCGGGUUGUAAACCUCUUUCAGCACCGACGAAGCGCAAGUGACGGUAGGUGUAGAAGAAGGACCGGCCAACUACGUGCCAGCCGCCGCGGUAA